UACGUAGGUGGCAAGCGUUGUCCGGAAUCAUUGGGCGUAAAGCGCGCGUAGGCGGCCCGAUAAGUCCGCUGUAAAAGUCAACGGCUCAACUGUUGAAAGCCGGUGGAUACUGUCGGGCUAGAGUACGGAAGAGGCAAGUGGAAUUCCUGGUGUAGCGGUGGAAUGCGCAGAUAUCAGGAGGAACACCUAUAGCGAAGGCAGCUUGCUGGGACGUUACUGACGCUAAGGCGCGAAAGCGUGGGGAGCGAACAGG
rnacentral:rRNA from 1 species